CAGCAGCCGCGGUAAUACGAAGGGGGCUAGCGAUGCUCGGAAUGACUGGGCGUAAAGGGCGCGUAGGCGGCGAUCAAAGUCAGGCGUGAAAUUCCUGGGCUCAACCUGGGGGCUACGUUUGAUACUUGAUUGCUAGAGUGGGGAAGAGGGUCGUGGAAUUCCCAGUGUAGAGGUGAAAUUCGUAGAUAUUGGGAAGAACACCGGUGGCGAAGGCGGCGACCUGGUCCUUGACUGACGCUGAGGCGCGAAAGCGUGGGGAGCAAACAGGAUUAGAGACCCCGGUAGUCCCUGUCUCUUAUAC
rnacentral:rRNA from 1 species